UACGAAGGGGGCUAGCGUUGCUCGGAUUUACUGGGCGUAAAGGGCGCGUAGGCGGACAGUUAAGUCGGGGGUGAAAGCCCGGGGCUCAACCUCGGAAUUGCCUUCGAUACUGGCUGUCUUGAGUACGGGAGAGGUGUGUGGAACUCCGAGUGUAGAGGUGAAAUUCGUAGAUAUUGGGAAGAACACCGGUGGCGAAGGCGGCUCACUGGGCUCAUUACUGACGCUCAGGCGCGAUAGCGUGGGGAUCAAACAGG
rnacentral:rRNA from 1 species